CCCGCCACUAUACUAGUCUGUAAAAGUGACUGUGUAUAAUCCAGUGGAGGCUAAUAAUGACCCAGCUCUAGGAAGCAGGGCUGCUCCACAAAGUGGGUAACCUUGUGCCAAAAGGUCUGGAACAACU